CCUCUCAUUCACUCUCUCAUACCCCCUCCACUCAACCUCUCUUGCUCUGCUUCAAUCAUUCUACACAUCUAUCCUCUUCUAUCAAAUGUCUAGCCCUUUUAUUCUGUGAUAUAGCAUCUGAUCACUGUGUCUUCUGCUGUUCUGAUUGUGUUGUGUGAUCUAUUGAUAAGUUCUCAUCAAUCAAACCUUGUCAAAAGCUAAUCUGACUAGGCUGGCCGGUGGGACCAUGAAUUUCAUGUUUGGUUUGGUUUGGUUUGGUCCCAGUCCAUUUCUUGGCGUGAUUUUCAGUGGGACCAGGAUCAGAAUGGGAGUGUAAAGUGACUAGAAUUAUUAGAACAUGAGUGAAAUGGGACUAAUAAAUCUUGAUAUUUCAUGUAAAGUGACUGACUAUCAAAAAUAAGAACAUGACCUGGGACUGACUAUGAUUUUGACUGAGGUUUGGUCCUGUUCUGAUGAUUAUAUAAUACAUAUCUUAGAUAUCAAUCUGAUGAUAUGAUUGGUGG
rnacentral:sRNA from 1 species